UACGUAGGGGGCUAGCGUUGUCCGGAAUCAUUGGGCGUAAAGCGCGUGUAGGCGGCCCGGUAAGUCCGCUGUGAAAGUCGGGGGCUCAACCCUCGGAUGCCGGUGGAUACUGUCGGGCUCGAGUACGGAAGAGGCGAGUGGAAUUCCUGGUGUAGCGGUGAAAUGCGCAGAUAUCAGGAGGAACACCGAUUGCGAAGGCAGCUCGCUGGGACGGUACUGACGCUGAGACGCGAAAGCGUGGGGAGCGAACAGG
rnacentral:rRNA from 1 species